CCAACUAUGUCCUGGCAUUCGUGGCCCUGGGGAAGAGGAGUCCUUUGUGCUAUAGUCCUGUUGGGGGGUCUCUGAGAAAAUGCAGAGGAAGGUCCUUUCCAGGCGGCCCUGGACCUGCUGCUGCUGACACAGAGCUCCGACUUUGCGCCACUCUUCCUUCACAUCUUGGGACCAAAGUAAUUACAAAGACCCAGGAAGGGCAAAAGGGCCCAGGCCGCUGGCCCGAGUCUGACCCCUAGAACUCACGGUGUAAAGGGAAGGACUCUGACCUCUGCACCUGCACUUCGCGUGCCUGACACACCCCAACUCCCAAGAAAGAACAUAAUGAAAAACAAAAAAAACAAAACCCCAGGAUAAGUUCCUAAAGAAACUUUCAUGAAGAAAAUAUAAUUUCAAUACCGUGACAAUGUAGUCAAAAGACAUAAACUUUA
rnacentral:lncRNA from 1 species